CUCGUAGGCGGUUCGGUAAGUCGGGUGUGAAAACUUUGGGCUCAACCCAAAGACUGCACUCGAUACUGCUGUGACUUGAGUCCGGUAGGGGAGUGGGGAAUUCCUGGUGUAGCGGUGGAAUGCGCAGAUAUCAGGAGGAACACCGGUGGCGAAGGCGCCACUCUGGGCCGGUACUGACGCUGAGGAGCGAAAGCGUGGGGAGCGAACA
rnacentral:rRNA from 1 species